rnacentral:rRNA from 1 species
AUUCGUUUGGUACCUUCAGCCCUCCACACGUGGAGGGGUUUAUUCCCAAAUAAAAGCAGUUUACAAUCCAUAGGACCUUCUUCCUGCACGCGGCAUGGCUGGUUCAGACUUGCGUCCAUUGACCAAUAUUCCU